CCUACGGGGCGCUGCAGUAGGGAAUCUUCCACAAUGGGCGAAAGCCUGAUGGAGCAACGCCGCGUGGGUGAAGAAGGUCUUCGGAUCGUAAAACCCUGUUGUUAGAGAAGAAAGUGCGUGAGAGUAACUGUUCACGUUUCGACGGUAUCUAACCAGAAAGCCACGGCUAACUACGUGCCAGCAGCCGCGGUAAUACGUAGGUGGCAAGCGUUAUCCGGAUUUAUUGGGCGUAAAGGGAACGCAGGCGGUCUUUUAAGUCUGAUGUGAAAGCCUUCGGCUUAACCGGAGUAGUGCAUUGGAAACUGGGAGACUGGAGUGCAGAAGAGGAGAGUGGAACUCCAUGUGUAGCGGUGAAAUGCGUAGAUAUAUGGAAGAACACCAGUGGCGAAAGCGGCUCUCUGGUCUGUAACUGACGCUGAGGUUCGAAAGCGUGGGUAGCAAACAGGAUUAGAUACCCGUGUAGUC
rnacentral:rRNA from 1 species